GACGAACGCUGGCGGCGUGCUUAACACAUGCAAGUCGAACGGAAAGGCCUGCUUUCCCUUGUGGAUUGCGGGUACUCGAGUGGCGAACGGGUGAGUAACACGUGAGUGAUCUGCCCCCAACUUGGGUAUAAGCCUGGGAAACUGGGUCUAAUUCCCGAUAGGACUGCAGGGUGGUGCCUGUGGUGGAAAACGAUUUUCUAGUGGUUGGGGAUGAGCUCGCGGCCUAUCAGCUUGUUGGUGGGGUAAUGGCCUACCAAGGCGGCGACGGGUAGCCGGCCUGAGGGGGUGGACGGCCACAUUGGGACUGAGAUACGGCCCAGACUCCUACGGGAGACAGCAGUGGGGAAUAUUGCACAAUGGGCGGAAGCCUGAUGCAGCGACGCCGCGUGGGGGAUGACGGCCUUCGGGUUGUAAACUCCUUUCGACCGCGAGGAAGCCACCUGGUUGGAAGGGUGGUGACGGUAGUGGUAGAAGAAGCACCGGCUAACUACGUG
rnacentral:rRNA from 1 species